UACGUAGGGUGCAAGCGUUAUCCGGAUUCACUGGGUUUAAAGGGUGCGUAGGUGGGCCUGUAAGUCAGCGGUGAAAUCUCCGGGCUUAACCCGGAAACUGCCAUUGAUACUAUAGGUCUUGAAUUAUCUGGAGGUAAGCGGAAUAUGUCAUGUAGCGGUGAAAUGCUUAGAUAUGACAUAGAACACCAAUUGCGAAGGCAGCUUACUACGGAUCGAUUGACACUGAGGCACGAAAGCGUGGGGAUCAAACAGG
rnacentral:rRNA from 1 species